rnacentral:rRNA from 1 species
UGGAGGCAGCAGUGGGGAAUUUUGCGCAAUGGGGGAAACCCUGACGCAGCAACGCCGCGUGAGUGAUGAAGGCCUUCGGGUCGUAAAGCUCUGUCAGAGGGAAAGAAAUGUGGGGCGCUAAUACCGCUACCACUUGACGGUACCCUCAAAGGAAGCACCGGCUAACUCCGUGCCAGCAGCCGCGGUAAUACGGAGGGUGCGAGCGUUGUUCGGAAUUAUUGGGCGUAAAGCGCGUGUAGGCGGUUUUAUAAGUCUGAUGUGAAAGCCCCGGGCUCAACCUGGGAAGUGCAUUGGAUACUGUAAGACUUGAGUACGGGAGAGGGCAGUGGAAUUCCUAGUGUAGGAGUGAAAUCCGUAGAUAUUAGGAGGAACACCGGUGGCGAAGGCGGCUGCCUGGACCGAUACUGACGCUGAGACGCGAAAGCGUGGGUAGCAAACAGGAUUAGAUACCCUCGUAC